rnacentral:rRNA from 1 species
AUUGAACGCUGGUGGCAGGCCUAACACAUGCAAGUCGAGCGAGCGGCGGACGGGUGAGAAAUAUCUGGGAAACUGCCUGAUGGAGGGGGAUAACUACUGGAAACGGUAGCUAAUACCGCAUACCAUCAGAUGUGCACAGAUGGGAUUAGCGAGUAGGGGGGGUAAUGGGUCACCUGGGCGACGAUGCCUAGCUGGGCUGAGAGGAUGACCAGCCACACUGUGACUGAGACACGGUCCCGGCUCCUACGGGAGACAGCUGUGGGAAUUGUUGCACAAUGAGCGCAAGGCUGAUGCAGCCAUGGGGGGUGUGUGAAGAAGGCCUUCGGGUUGUAAAGCACUUUCAGCGGGGAGGCGUUACCCGCAGAAGAAGCACCGGCUAACUCCGUGCCAGCAGCCGGGGUAAUUC